UGGUCUGUGAUUCACUUUUGAUGAUGUC
rnacentral:piRNA from 1 species